rnacentral:rRNA from 1 species
GAUGAACGCUGGCGGCGUGCCUAAUACAUGCAAGUCGAGCGAACAGAUGAGGAGCUUGCUCCUCUGACGUUAGCGGCGGACGGGUGAGUAACACGUGGAUAACCUACCUAUAAGACUGGGAUAACUUCGGGAAACCGGAGCUAAUACCGGAUAAUAUAUUGAACCGCAUGGUUCAAUAGUGAAAGACGGUUUUGCUGUCACUUAUAGAUGGAUCCGCGCCGCAUUAGCUAGUUGGUAAGGUAACGGCUUACCAAGGCGACGAUGCGUAGCCGACCUGAGAGGGUGAUCGGCCACACUGGAACUGAGACACGGUCCAGACUCCUACGGGAGGCAGCAGUAGGGAAUCUUCCGCAAUGGGCGAAAGCCUGACGGAGCAACGCCGCAUGAGUGAUGAAGGUCUUCGGAUCGUAAAACUCUGUUAUUAGGGAAGAACAAAUGUGUAAGUAACUAUGCACGUCUUGACGGUACCUAAUCAGAAAGCCACGGCUAACUACGUG